UAUACUUAAUAGACUGAAGUAUAGUAUAAAUAUAACUUUUAUAUUCACUGGGAUUCCAAAAAAUUGGGGUGGCUUGCCUUAUCACAGUGGUAUGGAAUUGAACCCGCCAUAUUUCAGAGGUACGCCUGUACAAAACUUACCAUAAUGUGAUUGUACGCAACAGAAUCCAGUGGGGGUUCAGAGGGUGGAGAAAUCACACAAAGCUUUCUAAUUUGGGAGAAAUGAUCCAACUGUCUGCCUAAGGAAAAUCAGUCAGGAUAUUUGAAAGUUUGCACUGAAAAAUGUUGUUGGGUGGACCUACAAGUUGGAAAAGCAAGGCAAGACUUCUAGGGGCAGAGAGGAGGGAGAACACUAGAGCUGGGCCCUUGUGGUAGGAUUUGGGCAUGUGGAAAUGGAGAAGACCUAAGAGUUCUAGAAACCAGAAGUGGUUAUGGAAAGCAAAACAUUCAGGCGGCAACUCUGGUCAUUGGGGUGCAUCAGGGGUCAGCAAACUUCUUUCAUAAAGAACCAGACAGUAAAUGUCUUAGCCUUUGCAGGCCAGGUGGCUCUCUGCCACAAUCACUCAACUCCGGCCACUGUUGCUUGAAAUCAGCCACAGACAAUAGGUACCUGAAUGAAUUUGACUGUGUUCCAAGAAGUCUUGAUUUAUGGACAAUGAAAUUUAUAUUUCAUAUAAUUGCAUGUGUCAUAAAAUAUUAUUAUUCUUUUUUUGUUCCCCAAACAUUUAAAAUGUAACCAUUCUUAGCCCUUAGGUCAUACAAAAAACAGAUCUGACCCAGGAGCCAACCCCUUAUCUACACGACGUCCACCAAGAUGCCUGUACGCAAAGCUCACAGAGAUCCUUGAAGUUUCCAGGGCACAACUUUAAUCUCCCUUGGAAUGAGGUGAAGUUUUCCAGGAAAUUGAAGGCAGAAGUAGGAAAUGUGGAGACUUCAGAGAAGGCUGCAGAGGGAAGUGGGAAGAAGAGCUAUGGAGAGGUUUCCUGACUUGCU